rnacentral:rRNA from 1 species
GCCCAGUCGUGGGGAUAACGUAGGGAAACUUACGCUAAUACCGCAUGCGCCUUCGGGGAAAGCCGGGACCUUCGGGCCUGGCGCGAUUGGAUGAGCCCACGUCGGAUUAGCUAGUUGGCGGGUAAAGGCCCACCAAGGCGACGAUCCGUAGCUGGUCUGAGAGGAUGAUCAGCCACACUGGAACUGAGACACGGUCCAGACUCCUACGGGAGGCAGCAGUAGGGAAUAUUGGACAAUGGGCGCAAGCCUGAUCCAGCCAUGCCGCGUGAGUGAAGAAGGCCCUCGGGUUGUAAAGCUCUUUUGUCCGGAAAGAAAAGCGCCGGGUUAAUACCCUGGUGUCCUGACGGUACCGGAAGAAUAAGCACCGGCUAACUUCGUG